rnacentral:lncRNA from 10 species
UUCACUCUCCAUGUUGUAAUCUACCCAGCCUGCUUCGCUCAUUGGCUUUAUCUGUGUAGCCGCUGGAAGUAUUUUUGGCCUGUGGAUACCUUCAUACUACUCCCUUUUACUUCUUCCCACACACCCUUAAUUUAUGGAACUACUUACAGCUCCUGCAACAGGUAAUAGAGCUUCAAGACUGUGUGACUCUAACACCAUGUAACUCUGAAAUCCUCAGCACUUCCGGCCAUCAAUGGUGCUAGCCAAUGGAACUAAUAGUGAUGUCCAGCAGAUGCUACCUAUUAGGAGUGGCAGUGGAGGACAGUGAUGACAUCCACCAAAGCCCAAGGGAAAGCAAUACUUGUGCCCACAAUCUGCAGCAAUUUGUCCAUGACAGACACAGUGGUACCCAGCAAAGAUGGUCAGUGGUUGAACCUGUCUGUGAAUGCAUGUGAAGUCCCUUCUGAGAACUCCCAGAAAUAUCGUGCAGAAAGGAGGGAGCUUUGAAGAGCUGAUAUCCUGUGUUAGUAGGUAAGAGCAAGCACCAGCAAAACUCAGGUUAUAAUACAAUGGACAAUUGUGAGGAUUCAAGUAAUACAUGUAAAAGCACCUAGCAGAACACCUGGCACUUUAUUGGGACCCAGAUAAGAUGCUUUGUCCUGCUGUUAUUAUUAUGAGAAAAGUCAGUUGUGUAUUAUCACAAAGACCAUGCUGUCUAAUCUGUUUUCCACUGCCUUUAACAAGCACUGUUUUACCUUUUCUUUGCCUAUGUUUAUCUCAUUCUGUUAAUGAACAGAUCAACCAAAAGACAAGGCUUUUUCCUCACACCUGCUGUUUACUCACAUGUUUGCUACUUUAUUAUCUUUCUUGGCUUUAAAGAGAAAGAACUGACUUGAUUCCAGUGUUGCCAAGUGUCAGAGAGGUCCAAUAAAAUGAUUUUGCUUCACUCAGCCAAUAAAACAUAUCUUCUGGUCUUAUUUGCAAUGGAAAAUAUGACAUCUGUUCUAAUUUCCCACUCUUUUUCCCCUAGGCAGAGUCUACUCUCUCCUGAGAAUGUUCCCCAAAGUGUUUGAAAUACUGGCAAGAGACAUUUAAUGAGGGCCCAAUAAGAUCUUCAAUUUUCUUAUCUCCUCACUAGGAACUGAAGUAUAUUAUCUAAUUCACAUAUGUCCUGGAGGAAUAAUUGAGCUCCUGCAUGUUUCUAAUGUUUUCUAAUGAUAGAAACUGAAAGAUAACAAGUUACAGGAAUACAUAUCUUUUUGAAAAACAGCUCAUAUCAUUUUAUAUGCUCGUCUUGAUAGCAUUUUGAUUGCAAUUUCCAUUAUCCUGUUUCACUGUAAAUAUUAUUUGUAACUUUGAAAUAUUUAUCAACUUUGCCAAGUUCCCAAGUUCCUCAAAGCAACAAUUAAAUUUUAUUUUUGAAAUGUCAUAAA